UAGGGAAUCUUCGGCAAUGGACGAAAGUCUGACCGAGCAACGCCGCGUGAGUGAAGAAGGUUUUCGGAUCGUAAAACUCUGUUGUUAGAGAAGAACAAGGACGUUAGUAACUGAACGUCCCCUGACGGUAUCUAACCAGAAAGCCACGGCUAACUACGUGCCAGCAGCCGCGGUAAUACGUUGGUGGCAAGCGUUGUCCGGAUUUAUUGGGCGUAAAGCGAGCGCAGGCGGUUUCUUAAGUCUGAUGUGAAAGCCCCCGGCUCAACCGGGGAGGGUCAUUGGAAACUGGGAGACUUGAGUGCAGAAGAGGAGAGUGGAAUUCCAUGUGUAGCGGUGAAAUGCGUAGAUAUAUGGAGGAACACCAGUGGCGAAGGCGGCUCUCUGGUCUGUAACUGACGCUGAGGCUCGAAAGCGUGGGGAGCAAACAGG
rnacentral:rRNA from 1 species